rnacentral:lncRNA from 10 species
CCGACACUUCACUGACGGCAGCUUCCCCGCCGGCUUCGUCUUGCAGCUCUUCUCCCACACCCAGCUCAGGGGCCCAGACAGCAAGGACUCACCCAAAGACAGGGAAGUGGCAGAAGGAGGCCUUCCCCGGGCGGAGAGCCCCUCUCCAGCUCCCCCUCCGGGGCUCCGCGGGACACUGGAUCUCCAGGUUAUCCGCGUGCGGAUGGAGGAGCCCCCAGCGGUCAGCCUCCUGCAAGACUGGUCCAGGCACCCCCAGGGCACCAAGCGUGUGGGAGCAGGUGACACCUCAGACUGGCCCACAGUUCUGUCAGAAUCCAGCACCACUGUGGCAGGGAAGCCGGAAAAAGGGAAUGGAGUGUAAAUUCUUGCUUUCCUGGGGAGGGAGGGAGGGAUGAGGCAGCGUCCCCCAGUGGCUUAUAACUCAGAGCUGCCUGGCUCACCCACCUGGUGGAGAGAGUAGAAACAGGUGCCAGGGCAGGAGGGGGCUGGGGCAGCAUCCACUGUUAUUUCGGGGCACUGGAAAGUGUCUGUUCCUGGCCAGGCCUGAGGUCGGCGAGGGUGGCUGAGGCUGUUGUGCAGUAGGGCACUGGGCCUGUGGAGAACACCUACCCCAGUCCUUCGCUGACCCCCACCUCUGUUUGUCCCCCAUGACCUCCUCCCACCCUCCCCCUGCUCCCCACCAUUCUCCCUUGGCACAGUGCCUUACACAAGAGUGGUCAUAAGGGGGUUUGAACUGAGUCCCACUACCUCGGGGGACACCUCUCCUCCCCACUUGUUCAGGCUUCUAAACCAGGAGGCCUCCAUUACCUCUUCCUGUCCCACCCCUGCAGAGGCCUGAAGCUGGGCCUGGGCACCCCAUUCACUCCCGUUCUCAUUUACAUCUGUUUUCCUGUUGUAUAUAUCACCUUUGUUGACAAUAAAUUAUUUUUUUU